rnacentral:rRNA from 1 species
AUUGAACGCUGGCGGCAGGCCUAACACAUGCAAGUCGAGCGGAUGAAGGGAGCUUGCUCCUGGAUUCAGCGGCGGACGGGUGAGUAAUGCCUAGGAAUCUGCCUGGUAGUGGGGGAUAACGUCCGGAAACGGGCGCUAAUACCGCAUUCGUCCUGAGGGAGAAAGUGGGGGAUCUUCGGACCUCACGCUAUCAGAUGAGCCUAGGUCGGAUUAGCUAGUUGGUGGGGUAAAGGCCUACCAAGGCGACGAUCCGUAACUGGUCUGAGAGGAUGAUCAGUCACACUGGAACUGAGACACGGUCCAGACUCCUACGGGAGGCAGCAGUGGGGAAUAUUGGACAAUGGGCGAAAGCCUGAUCCAGCCAUGCCGCGUGUGUGAAGAAGGUCUUCGGAUUGUAAAGCACUUUAAGUUGGGAGGAAGGGCAGUAAGUUAAUACCUUGCUGUUUUGACGUUACCAACAGAAUAAGCACCGGCUAACUUCGUG